rnacentral:miRNA from 1 species
GAGGUAGGAGGAUCACUUGAGUCUGGGAGAUCGAGGCUGUAGUGAGCUGUGAUCAUACCACUGCACUCCAGCCUGCAUGACAGAACCAGACCCUGUCUCA